rnacentral:tRNA from 1 species
AGAAGGAUUGGUGUAGUCACUGCUAAUGAUUUUCUGUCAAUUUGGUUUGACUUCUUCUU